rnacentral:rRNA from 1 species
GUACACGCUGUGACUAGCAUAUCAAUAAGCGGAGGAAAAGAAACUAACAAGGAUUCCCCUAGUAACGGCGAGUGAAGCGGGAAGAGCUCAAAUUUGAAAUCUUAAAGGGUCUCCCUUUACGAAUUGUAGUUUAAAGAAGUGUUUUCUGUUGAGGUUUUGGUAAAAGUUCUUUGGAAUAGGACAUCAUAGAGGGUGAGAAUCCCGUAUUUGACCUUUACUUUCAACUUUGUGAUACACUUUCAAAGAGUCGGAUUGUUUGGGAAUGCAGUCCAAAAUGGGUGGUAAAUUUCAUCUAAAGCUAAAUAUUGGCGAGAGACCGAUAGCGAACAAGUACCGUGAGGGAAAGAUGAAAAGAACUUUGAAAAGAGAGUUAAACAGUACGUGAAAUUGUCAAAAGGGAAGCGUUUGACACCAGUGUUGUUUUUCUGAAAAUCAAUUAAAGAACUGUUUAUGCUAAGCUGUUUAGACUUUAUCAGCUAUCUGUUUAGUUUUGAGCUUUUCUUUAAUGCACUUUUCAGUUAACAAGUCAACAUCAAUUUCUUUUGCUGUAAAAAAGCUUGAGGAAGGUGGCUUGAGAUUCGUCUUAAGUGUUUAUAGCCUCUUGCCUAUGCAGUCGGAGAGAUUGAGGUCUGCAGCGUAGAUCCUUCGGGGCUAAAUGCAUUUGUGCUAAGUUAUAGCAUUUUAUAGACAACUUGUUGACUAUGAUUUGUCUUGUAGCUUACUCGCUUAUGUUAUUUUACCUACGCUUAGGAUGUUGAGUCGUAGAGCACGCAG